UACGGAGGGGGCGAGCGUUGUUCGGAAUUACUGGGCGUAAAGGGCGCGUAGGCGGCCCACCAAGUUAGACGUGAAAGCCCCGGGCUCAACCUGGGAAUUGCGUUUAAGACUGGUGAGCUAGAGGACGAGAGAGGAAAGUGGAAUUCCUAGUGUAGAGGUGAAAUUCGUAGAUAUUAGGAAGAACACCAGUGGCGAAGGCGACUUUCUGGCUCGUAUCUGACGCUGAGGCGCGAAAGCGUGGGGAGCAAACAGG
rnacentral:rRNA from 1 species